GUUAAGCUAUUGAACAAACAAAUUUUGGAAACAUUAAACAAUGCUUAAGAUUCUUGCUUUUGAUAUUUACCAUAAUUUGGAGGAAGGAUGUUUUGGUUAUGCUUGAUUGUAAUAGUCUAGACUAGUUUUACGAUUGUCUGCCUGGAGAUCUUUGAUGUGCUGUCAUGUGUUUGCCAAUCUGGAAAUAUGAUAAGGAUUAUGUAUUUUACUUUAGAUGUGGGUGCUUGGUUUUCUCUACGAAGUUCAAUUUUCUGCUGUAAUAGUCUAGUCUAGUUUUACCUUUGUCUGCCUGGAGAUCUUCGAUGUGCUGUCAUGUGUUUGCCAGUCUGGAAAUAUGAUGAGGAUUAUGUAUUUUACUUGAGAUGUGAGUGCUUAGUUUUCUCUGAAAAGUUCAAUUUUCUGCUCUGGGCUGUGUGUGGAAACUGAUAUGCAUCUGAUUGCAAGACACUUUUCUAUUUAAUAUGACAGCGAGUCUUUGAAUCAUUGGUAGGGCUAGUCGGAGAUUCUAGUUGUAGUCCAUCUGCAACUCAGAUAAUGGUUUCUGGCUAAUCUGUAGAGAAGUUAUAACUUUGUGGUCAUUCAGCUUGCACACUGCUUGAUCCAUUACGAGGAACAUUAAAAGUUAUUCGGGCUGAGGGCUCUCCAUCUCCACGCUUGGAUCACACAUCUUCUUUGGUUGGAGAUCACAUGUUUCUUAUUGGAGGCCGGGGUGAUUCCUUGAACAUCCUCUGUGAUGUAUGGGUUUUCAAUAGAAAGAAUAAUGAAUGGGCAUUGUUAGAAUGUGCUGGUUGUACUUUGUCCUCCCAGGCAUCGGCAUGCUGCAGCAGUUGUAGGCUCAAACAUAUAUGUGUUAGGCGGUCUUAACAAUGAUACAAUCUUUUCAUCUUUGCAUGUUCUUGACGCAGAUAAUCUCCAAUGGAAAGAAUUAUUGGCCUUGUGCCUGACAUUUUCAUUCAAUGGUGGCAUCUGGACAACAAUGCCAAGAUUUGGCAUUACUUGAUCUGCAGCGCCGCAGUUGGAAACAUGUGAAACUCAACUCCAUGAGUAAAGAGUUGUUUGUCUGGUCUACUGCCAAUGUAGUUGGCGAUGAUCUUAUAAUGAUUGAUGGUGGUGCCACUUGCUUUGUUUUUGGAGCAAAAAUUAGUGAACCAAGGAAAAUUAACUUGUUCCUAGUCCCUAUAGUGUCCUUUGAUGAGUACCGCACGCCUGCAGAGAUAGAAUUCACCAGUGUGAAGGGGUAACAGAAGAAAAGAACAUUGAUGUUCAAGGUACAAAACUUGAGGAUUUACAGAUUUCAACUCAAAAUUCUGACUUAAAUUUUGAGGCUGAAUCACAUUCUGUAAAUGGUGGACAUCAGAUGGUUGCUUCAUACUGGGUUGUGCAAUUUGAUAGAAAGUAUGCCAAGUUAGGGAAAUUGAAGAAGUUCGGAUAGUUAGACCUCAGGAGAAUGGAAUACAUAUAGGAUGCAUAGUACAAUUUGUGGAAUUCACUCUCUAAAGUUCUACUAAGCUAAUAUUUGGUCUAUACUGAGCCAAUGUACAAUUUAAUUCAUUUAUGAAUUUAGUGAAUAUGUUCCAAAGUCAAUAUAUCAAAUUGCUGCAUCCAAAGGUACUUUUUCCUUGAUUUGUGCAGAACUUCUGACACAUGUGGAGAGAGUUAAAGUGUUUUCAGGUCAUAGUUGGGAAGUUACAGUUGAACAUACGGAGAGAGUUAAAUGGUAUUCACCCCACAUUCGUUAUCUCCUUGCAGAUGUGAGAUGCAGAAAGAUGCUGAGAUAACAUUCAGUGUGUUGUUGGUAACAAAUUAUGCUUGUUUCUGUGAAGCACAAGGCUCUGAGAGAAAAUGGGUUCUGUGACAUUGAAAGCCAACAAUUCCCCACAUGCAGUAGGCCAUAGUAAGUUGGCUUACGGGAAGAUAUAUGUUGUUCUGAAUGAAAAAAUUUGACAAUUUAAAAGAAAAGACCUAAUUUAUGAUAUAAAUUCACCAGGGAGAGUCAGAAAAUGCUGUUAGUGACUGAACUUUGUUGUCAAUUCAGCACUGGCUUCCAUAGUAAAACACACGUUUUGUUU